rnacentral:rRNA from 1 species
UACGUAGGGUGCGAGCGUUGUCCGGAAUUAUUGGGCGUAAAGGGCUCGUAGGCGGUUUGUCACGUCAGGAGUGAAAACUCGGGGCUCAACCCCGAGCCUGCUUCUGAUACGGGCAGACUAGAGGUAUGCAGGGGAGAACGGAAUUCCUGGUGUAGCGGUGAAAUGCGCAGAUAUCAGGAGGAACACCGAGGGCGAAGGCAGGUCUCUGGGCCACUACUGACGCUGAGAAGCGAAAGCGUGGGGAGCGAACAGG